rnacentral:rRNA from 1 species
AGUUUGAUCAUGGCUCAGAAUCAACGCUGGCGGCGUGCCUAACACAUGCAAGUCGAACGAGAAAGCGGUAGCAAUACCUGAGUAAAGUGGCGCACGGGUGAGUAACACGUGACUAACCUACCCUGGAGUGGGGGAUAACUGAGGGAAACCUUAGCUAAUACCGCAUAACACCUACGGGUCAAAGGAGCAAUUCGCUUCAGGAGGGGGUCGCGGCCGAUUAGUUAGUUGGCGGGGUAAUGGCCCACCAAGACAGUGAUCGGUAUCCGGCCUGAGAGGGCGCACGGACACACUGGAACUGAAACACGGUCCAGACUCCUACGGGAGGCAGCAGUGGGGAAUUUUGCGCAAUGGGGGAAACCCUGACGCAGCAACGCCGCGUGGAGGAUGAAGUACUUCGGUACGUAAACUCCUUUCGAUCGGGACGAUAAUGACGGUACCGGAAGAAGAAGCCCCGGCUAACUUCGUGCCAGCAGCCGCGGUAAUACGAGGGGGGCAAGCGUUGUUCGGAAUUAUUGGGCGUAAAGGGUGCGUAGGCGGUUUGGUAAGUCUCUUGUGAAAUCUAUGGGCUCAACUCAUAGACUGCAAGGGAAACUGCCGGGCUCGAGUGUGGGAGAGGUGAGUGGAAUUCCUGGUGUAGCGGUGAAAUGCGUAGAUAUCAGGAGGAACACCUGUGGCGAAAGCGGCUCACUGGACCACAACUGACGCUGAUGCACGAAAGCUAGGGGAGCAAACAGGAUUAGAUACCCUGGUAGUCCUAGCCCUAAACGAUGACUGCUUGGUGUGGCGGG